GAUGAAAACGUAGUGAAAUGCGAUAAGUAAUGUGAAUUGCAGAAUUCAGUGAAUCAUCGAAUCUUUGAACGCACCUUGCGCUCCUUGGUAUUCCAAAGAGCAUGCCUGUUUGAGUAUCAUUAAAUUAUCAACUGUACCAAUUUGGUUGCAGAUUGGAUGUGGGAGAUUUUGCAGGCUUUUGAUUUCUCUUUGAGAAAACGGUCAGCUCUCCUGAAAUAUAUUAGCAGUGCCUUUGUUGGUUCAUUAGGUGUGAUAAUUUAUCUACAUCUUCACAUGGUACCUUCAUUUGUGUAAAGGUCAUAUUGCUUCUAAUUGUCUUUGGACAUAAAAAAAAAAAAACAUAUAAUUGUAUGGAAAACUUGAUCUCAAAUCAGGCAGGACUACCCGCUGAACUUAAGCAUAUCAAUAAGCGGAGGA
rnacentral:misc_RNA from 1 species